GGCACUUCUUCAUGCUGCCUUGCGAAGAAGCUGGCUUGCUUCCUCUUUGUCUUCCGCCAUGAUUGUAGAUUUCCUGAGGCCUCCCAAGCUGUGCUGAACUACCAAACCAAUGCAGACCAAACCAAUGCAGAACUCCUAUGUGCUGAUGGUGGUCUUACAUUUCCCUAAGUUUCUGCCGACUAAACUGUGCACACGUUCUCAGGACCUCCUGAAGCUGCGUCACAGGCACUAAUCAAAGAACACAACCAAGAGUUUGGCCUUUUCUUCAGCACUGGGAAUUGUGAUCCAAAGCUUUUCCCGAUGAAGCACAAAGUUGGAGAAAAAAAAACGCAAACUAAACAACCACAAUGAAACAGAACAGAGUUAAUCUGCUGUAGCUCAAGAGAGGAUGUACCUGCCCCCACCCCGCAUCCCUGGGCUCGGGUUUGCCUUGCUGACCUCUGCUGCCACCUGGUGCCACACAGAGAAACUGAGGAGAAACCACAUCAGUCUCCUUCAGCCUCAGCUUCACAUCUGUGGGUCAAGUAACCCUUUCAGAAGCUGAAUAAUGUGGGAAAGCUUUCCUCUCAGGAAAAUGCACACAUCCAACUUUGAGAAGAUGCCCUUGGGGGCGCUUCAAGGAUUCUAGAUAAUAACCCCCUUUCCCGAACAUCCAAGAACCUAAGAUUUUUUUUUUUUUGAGAAAGUCUCGCUCUCUCUCCCAGUCUGGAGUGCAGUGGCGUGAUCUUGGCUCACUGCCAGCUCCACCUCCCAGGUUCACGCCAUUCUCCUGCUUCAGCCUCCCAAGUAGCUGGGGCUACAGGCACCUGCCACCAAACCCGGCUAAUUUUUUUGUAUUUUUAGUAGAGACGGGGUUUCACCGUGUUAGCCAGGAUCGUCUUGAUCUCCUGACCUUGUGAUCCACCCGCCUCGGCCUCCCAAAUUGCUGGGAUUACAGAUGUGAGCCACCGCACCUGGUCCAAGAACCCAAGUUUUAGAUCUAGAGUGAUGUCAGCAUGACAUUGAUUUCCUGAGGCCCAGGGGCGAAGGAGCUGAGGACAGCAGAGGGGUGAAGGAACUCAGCUACAGACAGCAGCAGCUGAUGCACAGGCCUCCCAGCGCCUGAAGUCACCCGGAAUUGGGAAGUGCUCAGAAGCUUACAAAGCUGCCUCGAGGAACAGUAAGAGGACCUUGUGCAUGAAUAAUUUGUUUCCACACUGCAGAGUGGCAGAAGAAUCCCAGACUUCUUAGAGAACCCAGUGACUUUUUGCACCUUAAAUCUGUGAAAUCCUCAUGCUUUCUUCUGCCGUAUCCAUCGUUCAAACAAACAUGAGGCAAAGCUAGACACAUUCCUGAAGGAACCCAAGAAAUUCCUCUCUUUCUCUCUCUGGAAUGAAAUGAAUUCUCUAGACCACCAGUUCUAACCUUCAAAAACGAAACCUGUUUGUGAGAUCUCCUUCAAAUACUACUGUAGACCCCAGUGUUUAUUCAUUAAAUUUUUUAAACAUUUGUUUUAUUUGG
rnacentral:sRNA from 1 species